GAGCAAUAAUAACACAUCUAAUUUCUUUACAUGAAAAGGAAAGGCAACACAGAUUAAGUGUUGGUUAAUGUGUACUAAGACUUGUACUAAAGUGUACGAGAAGCAAGCAGGAAAUUCCUAUUCAGUUUAUUUUGAAAAUCAAUCGCGUCAUUCGCUUCCGAAGUGGAAAACAACUUUAAUAUGCACAGCACCUUUGACGUUAUUCACCAUCGUUGUUGACACACAGAACUUCUUUCUACUAGAAACUCGAGAUGGUGUUGAAAACUCUUCUAAACCGUUUGGCGUAGCUAUUCAUAAAACAACAAAGCCUUUACAUUAUCUUUUCCCAGUUUCUUAUGGCAACGGUAUUGUUUUCUAUUGUAGCGCUUCAUCGUUGAAACUGAAUCACGCGUGAUUGCAAAGAUUUCUAAAGGGACCCUAUUUAGCGCGUGAAUGAAAACUAUAACACCAGGUAUUAACAUCAAUAGCAAGUGCUUCAUCACAAAACGAAACUCUAGAAAAACAAAAUUCCAACUAGUUGGAAUGACUCGACGGCAUCCGGAAUGAAUCACAGGUAGCUUUGGAACAACAUGUUGGCGGAUAGUUUUGACUAGUGGACACACGCAAUUGCGCUACUGAUGCUCAUUAUUCAUAGCCAUUUCGUGCCAUUGGAUAACUACACCAUCGUCAAUAAUGACGAAAUCGAAACAAAAAAAAGGCGGUGAAAAAUGAUCAUUCCGCAACGUUUAUGAAUGACGAAGAAAAAGAAGAAAUAUAAAUACUUCUGUAUACGCGAUACAUGGGUUUGCAACGAUGCUGGAAGCCUCACAGUUCUUCACGCGCUUCAUUCGCUCGCAUAACAAUGGUUAGUGGGAUGGGGAAGAUAAUUAUGCGUUUCUUCGAUAUUUGAAAAUGCAUACGACACGAGCGAUUAGAGGUAGUGUAGGAAUAGUGGUUGUUAUGUCAGAAUGAACAGGUGGACCCUCUGGCCUGAAAAGACGAAUCAGGAUGAUAGAAAACCUUAUAAAACGAGGUCAAAUCGAAGGUAGAGGUUAGUCGAGUGAACAUCUCUGACACAGUAUAGUACUAGCAGUCUUUCAAAUACCAAUAGCUGAUUUAAUAUAGUGUCUUCCAGUUCCAACCUGCAAUCAUGGGUAAUGUACACACUUCAACUUGUUUAAUGAUUUUAGUUAAUGUGAUGAUGCAAUUGUUGA